AAAUUGAAGAGUUUGAUCAUGGCUCAGAUUGAACGCUGGCGGCAGGCCUAACACAUGCAAGUCGAACGGUAACAGGAAGCAGCUUGCUGCUUCGCUGACGAGUGGCGGACGGGUGAGUAAUGUCUGGGAAACUGCCUGAUGGAGGGGGAUAACUACUGGAAACGGUGGCUAAUACCGCAUAACGUCGCAAGACCAAAGAGGGGGACCUUCGGGCCUCUUGCCAUCAGAUGUGCCCAGAUGGGAUUAGCUAGUUGGUGAGGUAACGGCUCACCAAGGCGACGAUCCCUAGCUGCUCUGAGAGGAUGACCAGCCACACUGGAACUGAGACACGGUCCAGACUCCUACGGGAGGCAGCAGUGGGGAAUAUUGCACAAUGGGCGCAAGCCUGAUGCAGCCAUGCCGCGUGUAUGAAGAAGGCCUUCGGGUUGUAAAGUACUUUCAGCGGGGAGGAAGGUGUUGUGGUUAAUAACCGCAGCAAUUGACGUUACCC
rnacentral:rRNA from 1 species